rnacentral:rRNA from 1 species
UACGUAGGGUGCGAGCGUUGUCCGGAAUUAUUGGGCGUAAAGCGCGCGCAGGCGGUCCUUUAAGUCUGAUGUGAAAGCCCACGGCUCAACCGUGGAGGGUCAUUGGAAACUGGGGGACUUGAGUGCAGAAGAGGAAAGCGGAAUUCCACGUGUAGCGGUGAAAUGCGUAGAGAUGUGGAGGAACACCAGUGGCGAAGGCGGCUUUCUGGUCUUUAACUGACGCUGAGGCGCGAAAGCGUGGGGAGCAAACAGG